UACGUAGGGACCAAGCGUUGUUCGGAUUUACUGGGCGUAAAGGGCGCGUAGGCGGCGUGGUAAGUCACUUGUGAAAUCUCUGAGCUUAACUCAGAACGGCCAAGUGAUACUGCUGUGCUAGAGUGCAGAAGGGGCAAUCGGAAUUCUUGGUGUAGCGGUGAAAUGCGUAGAUAUCAAGAGGGAACACCUGGAGGUGAAGACGGGUUGCUGGGCUGACACGUGACGCUAAGGCGCGAAAGCCAGGGGAGCAAACGGG
rnacentral:rRNA from 1 species